UUUAUGGAGAGUUUGAUCCUGGCUCAGGAUGAACGCUGGCGGCGUGCCUAAUACAUGCAAGUCGAGCGAACGGACGAGAAGCUUGCUUCUCUGAUGUUAGCGGCGGACGGGUGAGUAACACGUGGAUAACCUACCUAUAAGACUGGGAUAACUUCGGGAAACCGGAGCUAAUACCGGAUAAUAUUUUGAACCGCAUGGUUCAAAAGUGAAAGACGGUCUUGCUGUCACUUAUAGAUGGAUCCGCGCUGCAUUAGCUAGUUGGUAAGGUAACGGCUUACCAAGGCAACGAUGCAUAGCCGACCUGAGAGGGUGAUCGGCCACACUGGAACUGAGACACGGUCCAGACUCCUACGGGAGGCAGCAGUAGGGAAUCUUCCGCAAUGGGCGAAAGCCUGACGGAGCAACGCCGCGUGAGUGAUGAAGGUCUUCGGAUCGUAAAACUCUGUUAUUAGGGAAGAACAUAUGUGUAAGUAACUGUGCACAUCUUGACGGUACCUAAUCAGAAAGCCACGGCUAACUACGUGCCAGCAGCCGCGGUAAUACGUAGGUGGCAAGCGUUAUCCGGAAUUAUUGGGCGUAAAGCGCACGUAGGCGGUUUUUUAAGUCUGAUGUGAAAGCCCACGGCUCAACCGUGGAGGGUCAUUGGAAACUGGAAAACUUGAGUGCAGAAGAGGAAAGUGGAAUUCCAUGUGUAGCGGUGAAAUGCGCAGAGAUAUGGAGGAACACCGGUGGCGAAGGCGACUUUCUGGUCUGUAACUGACGCUGAUGUGCGAAAGCGUGGGGAUCAAACAGGAUUAGAUACCCUGGUAGUCCACGCCGUAAACGAUGAGUGCUAAGUGUUAGGGGGUUUCCGCCCCUUAGUGCUGCAGCUAACGCAUUAAGCACUCCGCCUGGGGAGUACGACCGCAAGGUUGAAACUCAAAGGAAUUGACGGGGACCCGCACAAGCGGUGGAGCAUGUGGUUUAAUUCGAAGCAACGCGAAGAACCUUACCAAAUCUUGACAUCCUUUGACAACUCUAGAGAUAGAGCCUUCCCCUUCGGGGGACAAAGUGACAGGUGGUGCAUGGUUGUCGUCAGCUCGUGUCGUGAGAUGUUGGGUUAAGUCCCGCAACGAGCGCAACCCUUAAGCUUAGUUGCCAUCAUUAAGUUGGGCACUCUAAGUUGACUGCCGGUGACAAACCGGAGGAAGGUGGGGAUGACGUCAAAUCAUCAUGCCCCUUAUGAUUUGGGCUACACACGUGCUACAAUGGACAAUACAAAGGGCAGCGAAACCGCGAGGUCAAGCAAAUCCCAUAAAGUUGUUCUCAGUUCGGAUUGUAGUCUGCAACUCGACUACAUGAAGCUGGAAUCGCUAGUAAUCGUAGAUCAGCAUGCUACGGUGAAUACGUUCCCGGGUCUUGUACACACCGCCCGUCACACCACGAGAGUUUGUAACACCCGAAGCCGGUGGAGUAACCUUUUAGGAGCUAGCCGUCGAAGGUGGGACAAAUGAUUGGGGUGAAGUCGUAACAAGGUAGCCGUAUCGGAAGGUGCGGCUGGAUCACCUCCUUUCU
rnacentral:rRNA from 1 species